rnacentral:rRNA from 1 species
AUGCAGAACCCUAGCAGCAAUCACCCUGCCCCGCCCGCGGCGGCUGCGGGGAAAUCCAAGUCCUCGGGGCAGGCCGCGGCAGCGGCCUCGGGCCAGGGCCAUCAGCCCUCCCCGGCCACGCCUGCGGCUGCCAAGUCCAAGUCCUCGGCCGCGGCAGGGGCCUCGGGCCACGGUCACAACUCCUCCCCGGCCACGCCGGCGGCCGGCAAGUCCAAGGCCUCGGCGCAUGCCGCGGCGCCGGGCCAGGCGUCCUCCUCCAACCAACCGCACGCCGUUGGCGGCGCUGACGCAGCCGCAUCAAGCCUUAAGCGCAAGCGCGGCGUCUUCCAGAAGGACCUGCAGCACAUGAUGUAUGGCUUUGGGGACGAUCCAAAUCCACUUCCAGAAACAGUUGCACUUGUGGAGGACAUUGUUGUAGAAUAUGUUACUGACCUCAGUAGUUUAUGGUUCCAUAGCCGAGUGAAUCCAUGGUGUGCCUUUUCCCAGGUCCACAAGGCUCAGAAUGUGGCUUCAAAGAGGGGGAAGCUCUUGACAGAGGAUUUUCUUUACCUUAUCCGAAAGGAUAUGCGGAAACUGCACCGUGCUACCGAGCUACUCUCCAUGAAUGAAGAGCUCAAGCAAGCAAGGAAAGCUUUUGAUGUGAAUGAAGAAACACUAGUAGUAACCAAUGAGUGA